GAGGCAAUCCCCAGUGGCACUCAGAGCUACUUGCAGUGAAAGCAGCAAGGUGCAGUGUUUGUCCACCUGCAGCAGAAGCUUCCUGUGGCCUUGGGAUGCGUGAGAAAUGAAAUAUGAAUAUAUCUUCGCCAGAAACAAAGGAACCUAUUCCACAAAAAAUGACAGUAUUCUGUCCCUCUCCAAGAGGACUGGCAGCAGCUCCAGACUGCGAGAGACCCAGAUACCAAGCUUUCCCACAGCAUGGAUUUCUUUGUCACAGUGAUGUGUACCCAGGCCAGUGGACUGCACGGGCUGCUCUUCUGCACAGCAAAUAACUGUGCUGGGAGAAUCAUUCAUUUUCCACGCAACGCUUCUGCUGUGAGGGCCAUUUUUCAGCUUGGCAGAAGGGUGGCACCUGCCUAGUUUUUCAUUUGGCUUGAGAACUACUUCUUCUUCUGUCGAACUACUAUACCUGCAUUUUUUGACAGGAAAUACCUGAGAAGCUGCUGGACUCACCUGCCCCCCUUUCAGCACCCACGCUGGUGGGAUGCCAGCAUGGGCUGUGACUUUUGUGUGUGGUCCCUCUUCUAAAGAUUUAUUUGGUUUUUAAAUGGGUUUGUAGUCAAAUGAAAUAGUAACACCCUUUCAAGGAGACAUACAAAGGCUCAGGAGAAUGAUGCUACAUGAACUGACUUCCAGACCUUUCUCAUUUGUAGGCACAUUCUGUCUGGUGCCCUUAUGUGGCAAUUGUGAUCAGAAAACAUCUUGAGUCAGAGCACACCUUUGUGUCUUUAUUGGUACUUCUCUUUGUCUCAGGAGCUAAGAGUUUUAAAAUGUUGAGGAACAGCACUUACUAACUGUUCAUUUUGAUGCUGGCCCUAGCCCCUAAGGCAGGCCAGUGGAGGUGUGCUGGGUUGUGAGCUGAAAAGCACCAUGAAGUGCUGACAAAUAGAUGUUUUUCUUUGCUUAAGAUUGGACCUUGUGUAAAGCAAAGCAAUAUUAAAAUACAUGUUGCCAGCUUGUGACAGGGAAGGAAAUCCUUCUCAAAUUGGCAGGGUUUUUUUAUCAAUUCCCCAUAAUUUUCCAUUGUUGUUACAGGGAGAGAAAGCAUUGGAGCAGGACAAUGUGUGUUUGGAAACUGAAAGUAUCUUAGCAGAUCUUGUAGGAUUUGAAUUGAAGCUCUGGUGAGAAGUGAGGUGGUUCUCUGCCACGGAGGCAAGAAAAAGACCUGUUAAGAACUUCAUGGUAUAUUAGGUCAUUUAUACUUCAUAGAUUUAUUGGCUUUGCACUUUAUCUGCUCAUCACCUGCUCAUCAUCCAUGAUGCUGUAAGUACAAAGUAAUUUUGGUUACCUGUAGGCUUGCUCAUCUGGGAACACCAGCAAAUUUAAGGAAAAGAGUUUUACUACCUGUGUACAAGUCUAGGACACCUGGCAGAAAAGUGGUAUCCCCUGCUGUGGCAAGUUGAGGAGAGAUUGAAAUGAGAUAAAACACUUUAUCUAGUUCCAGGGCAAAUAAAAAUGCCUAAGAAUAUCUUUGUGCCAUCUGGAAGUACCUGAAUACUUCAGCGUGCCAGAGAAAGCUGUCACUAUCAGCC